UGUGUGUUUGGGUUGGUUGGGUUUGUUUGUUUGUUUGUUUGUUUCCCGGAGCUCUCGAGGUAUGCGCAGGCGCGGCACGGCGCCUCUGGAGGCUCGGAAGUGCCUUUUGGUAAGUGAAAGGUGGCGGUGGAAGCGAUAAGAACAACGUUUCUGGGCGAAAUUGGAGGCGCCAGACUGCGCGGUGUGUUCAGCCUGUGGCAACGCGGGGUUCUGGGAGUGAAAGCUUGACUGGAAAUAUGGGGAGAGGCCAUCUGGUUUUGGACCUAAUAUCUAAAAAACCACCAAGGCAGCGCUGAGGGCUCGUUGUCCUUACAAACUCAGAGCCCGGCUCCUGAGGCCAGUGAGGGAGAAACAGCAGUCUGAGGUUUAGGUAGCAGUCACAAGAGAUUAGAUGCUGUUAAGUGUAAUGAAGCAUGAAGAUGACAAGAUAAGUGAACCAGAAGCUUUUCAGCUUGAUCAUAUCCUCUGAUGCAUAAUGGUACAGAUUUCGUAUUCCAGACACAACUGUCACCUUGUGGUUGAAAUCAUACUAGAGGAAUCUAUGGGAAUCUAUGUGAGUAAGUAUAACUGAGAUAGUUCCCUCCACCCCCCCAAUUACCUUCCUACUUUAAAUAUAGAAAGGAAAAUGAGUCCUCCUUAGUUCAGAGAUGAUUAAUUGCACAUGAGGUUUGUGAUGAAAAGUUCUCUCUCAAAUAAACACAGUCAUAAAAGUUGUUCUUCUUUCACAUGUUAGGAGGAAAGACUGCUUCUAGUGACAGAGUACUAGACUAGACUGACACUGGUGUCUUUUAGGACAUUAGUACUUGACUAGUACAUACAGCACUAUGUGUUAGAAUUGUGAGUUGUAUCAUAGCAAAAUAUUUUUGUAUAGUUUUUCUAUUUAAAUGUCUUUAAAACCAUGGGCAGAAUGUUACUUCCCUUGUUGCAUAGUGGUUCCAGCAACUCUGAUACGAACGAUACGCUGGUGGGCUUUUGAAAACCUGAAGAACAAGAAUCCGCCAGGGAGCCUAGGUGGGACUUUACAAAUAAACUUACAAAUUAUUUAACUACUAUUAAAAAAAAUGUAAAAAUAAUUGCUGACUAAAGGUCUCAAUUAAUAAACUGUAUCAGCUUCUAUUAAUUUAGUUCCUCCACUUCAUUACAAAAAGACACUAUUGAUCCAGAAUUUAUUAGUAGUGUUUGAUUAAAGCCAGUGGAGGGCAGACUUGAAUUGGAAACUAUUUUUGCUACUUCAGUUACUUGAACUUAAAAUACCAGAUAGUCCCUCGAGCUCAAACCUGAUGACAGUCUCAUCACUUCUCUACUAUUCUAACUACACUUGUGCUGGAUAAAAGCUUCUUUACAAUUGCUGUUUGACAGAAUGAGUGUUUCACUAUGUUGCAGUAAGAAUAGGAAAUGUUUAAACAAAAUGCUAAUACGAAAGUGGAUAAGUCAGUGUAUUAGCAGAUGUGCGUUACUCCCAGGGGAGAAUCCACACUGCUUAAUAAUUAACCAUGCGUAUCUUAAAAUGUUUUUUAAAAGCUAGUGAAUAUCGUUAUCCCUGUUUUACAGAUGAAGAAACUGAGGAAUAGCGUGGUAACCUCACAAGUUACCCAUCUAGGUGACCUACCAAAAUCCAGAUUUCUGAGACCUAGUCCAGUGCUCAAGCAUAUCUUUUGCAGAAGUAAACUAUGACAUGUCUCACUCUUGCAAACAUUAUGGAAAUGAUUGCUAGCAGCCGAGGAGAGUAUUCUCUUCAAGAAGAUGGGUGGCAAUCAGAUCAGCUGGCCAAAGAUCUGUGUUAAAAAUAGUAUUUUAUUAUUAAAGUUAGGUUGUACUCUUUCCAAGGAACAAAAAGCUUUUCUGUGUAGACCUUUAAAGCCAUUCCAGUCUCAGUACUGGGAAAUGUAUGGUUAAAAAGUCAAUUGGCAUACAGGUGAAGGAUUAAGAUGCUAAUAGACUGUUCCUCCCUUCCCUUCAUCUUUAGUUACAAGGGUUUCAAAUUAUGAGAGAGAAAGCAGGCUUCCUAUUAGCUCGCCAAGCCCACCCUAUUUACUGUACCCGUGGUCAGUGAUAUUCGUGCAAUUAGAGUGACAUAAUUAAAUUCCAUCCUUCACUGGCACUAAGUUGAAUAGCUAAACUCAAUCACUAAUUUUAUUUGAUUAAAUAAAUCUAUUCCAUUUUCUUUAUAUGCUUGGGAGGUCAUUACCCACUAUAACAGCUUUUUAAAUUACAAAAAAACGCUGAACUUUUUAUCUAUAAACCUUAGUGUAAACUGUUCUUGCUGUUUCUAGGGAAGGCUAGAGGCAUGCUGUUACAACUUGCCAUUCCUAAGACUUGUGUAAGGCAUACCACAGAACAUUUGGUGCUGCAUAUCGAAAAAUCCAUUUGUAGAAUGAAGAGCACAUUGCAAAAUGCGUUUUUUCCUUUUUCUUACUGCUAAUUUGCAGUGGACAUUUGUUCAUGGUGGGAACUAGUCAUUGGUUUAUAUGACUCCAGUGAAAAGCACCGCAUUGAAAAUUAUAAAUUAGAAUGUGAGUACGUGGGCUCAGUUUGGACUCAAAUACUGCAUAACCUAUUACUGUGUUACUCAUUUUUGGUAUCUUUCCAGACAAAUAAUGUUAGAAUAGGAGUCAGAAAUAUCUGGCAGGGCUUUAAAGUAAAUUAAAGCAAUGUGGCAGUUAUUCCAAAACUUCUUACUGUAAAUUCAAGCAAUGAAUUUCAGGUUAACCUUCAAAGUAGUAAACCCAGAGACAGGGAUGUGUAGGGAGGGCUUUCAGACAACCUUUACAAUAGCCUGUUACCGACUUUUCAAGUCUAUAUUCAAGGUUUUCUAAGUACUGGGUGAAGGUUUGUAAGAAUAGAUUAGAAAAGAGUCCACUUUGAAUUCCUUUAAGAUCCUUAAUGAUUUCUCCUUCUACUUUGUAAUUUUAUACCUCACAAAGAGCUGACGUCUUCAAAUAGUCAUCACUUCCCAUAACUCACAGAGGCCUGAAAAUGCAAUUAUCUCAAAAGGGAGAUUAAUUUUCUGCAGAAGUGCAGAAGUACAGCAUCCUGGAAGAGCGAGCACAUCCUCCAGCGGGAGCGCAAAGGUGCGGGUUCAUGGGAAGGACAGCAUCCAUCUGCCCCCCCAGAUAAAUCCAAGCCCAUCUUCCCAGCUUAUAGGUGGCUUUUUUUACCUUUUACUCCAUAGUAAAAACCAAAUUUUUCUGCAGUAAAAUUCCCUGUAUGUUAAAACCACAGAUAGAUCCACUCUACAGUCUUGAAGGUUUUUUGACAGACAACUUGUAAGCUAUAAACAUAGAAAUCAUGUAUAAGUAGAAAAAGUGUUGAUAAAGCAAUUAUGUAAAAUAAGGUGUAUCUGAAAAUUAAUGCUAAAAACAUCCUGAAUAUGGGGAAAAAUGAGAGGAGAGUUCCACCACACCAGUUGUCUCUGUUCGAUACAUGGAAUUAUAGGAGAGUUUUACCUUAUUGUUACCCAUAUAACUGAUUACAUCUUUCAGUUAAAACCGUUAACUUUUCUUAAGGGGGAAUAAACCUGAAUUUUUGGGGGCAUGGCAAGUUUUUUCCUGCUGUGAAUUUCAGAGGUUUACAGCUCUACCUCCACGUGACCUUUUCUUACGCUAAUCCCAGGUGGUGUAUAUUCCCUUUUGUUUGUACCCAGCUUUCCCUUUUAUUUGUAAUACGUAGGUGAAGGUGAAAUGUUAAAUUCAUGACUGAAGAGCAGGUAAGAUAUUUACUACCUCAGAAGCACAUCAUUGUAAUGUACAGUUGUGUUUGUUCUGCUGAGCAGGCCCAACGCAAUUAGAGAGGGAGUUGCAGAUAAUGCAAAAUAACUGUCUUAGAACAGUAGCUGUUGCUAUAGGCAGAAUGACCAAAAGCCUUUUGCUGUAUUUCUUUACAUGGAAACAAACAUAUAGAUAUACACCAUCUGAAUAAAGAACAUGACAUUUUUGCACGCCUGUGACAAAAAAAGAGAGCAGUAUAGCAAAGUAUACUUAGUUUUGGAUUAAAAAAAAGAAAGAAAUUUGAAUAUGCCAUGUAUAAAGCUUGUGCAAUCGUAUUUGAUCAAAGUCAGUUACUCUGGUAAUGUACUUUCAGAGAUGGGAGUUUUAAUGAUGACUUCUGCAUCUGUGGAAAUGAAAGCCUGCUGCUGUCAGGUUGCCAGGACCCUUCAAUGUGCGCUUCAUUUUAGUAAAUUAAGCAUGUUUAUACUUACUGUCACAAGCAGCAGAAAAACACCGACAUUGCUUCCAUGUUUAGAAUUUUGUGGAGUCUACUACACCUGUGAGCAGACUCCGCUUAAGUUAUCUGAAACUCCUAAUCGCUUAAUCUCAUUCUUGACAUACUUCAGCCUCCAACAGUCUGCUGCAACUUCUGUUGCGCCUUCUGGAAAUCUCUGUAGCCAUUUCUUUUUCUCCCUAGUUGGCUCCAAGCCAGAAAUGUAUCCAUUUGCACAAAUGCUUCUUAACCUUGUUCACACUGUUUGUUUGUUUUUUUUUUUCAUUUUCCUGCUUUCUGCUUUUUUGAUUGUUGUAUGCUUUCAUAGUAAAUGUAUUACUUGCUGAGUUUUCUGUAUAAUAAAGCAGCAGUUACAAUGCAUUUUCUAAACUAGUGUUUGCUUCACUUUAAGUGCACUGAACAAAAUUAUUUCUCCACAGUCAUUUGAUGGGCAUCUUACUGUAACAUAGGAGUCCUGAACAUCAAUGCAUUUGAUCAGCUUUCUGAUUCGGUCGUAUUCUUCC